rnacentral:tRNA from 1 species
GGGCCGAUAGUUCAGACUGGUAGAACGUCGGAUUUGCAAUGGGAUGAGUCCCUCCUUCCGCGAAUUCAAAUCUCGCUCGGUCCACCA